GACGAACGCUGGCGGCGUGCUUAACACAUGCAAGUCGAACGAUGACGCCCGAGCUUGCUCGGUCUGAUUAGUGGCGAACGGGUGAGUAACACGUGAGCAACCUGCCCUUCACUCUGGGAUAACCUCGGGAAAUCGGGGCUAAUACCGGAUAUGAGCUCCUGUCGCAUGGCGGGUGUUGGAAAGUUUUUCGGUGAAGGAUGGGCUCGCGGCCUAUCAGUUUGUUGGUGAGGUAGUGGCUCACCAAGGCGAUGACGGGUAGCCGGCCUGAGAGGGCGGCCGGCCACACUGGGACUGAGACACGGCCCAGACUCCUACGGGAGGCAGCAGUGGGGAAUAUUGCACAAUGGGCGAAAGCCUGAUGCAGCGACGCCGCGUGAGGGAUGACGGCCUUCGGGUUGUAAACCUCUUUCAGCAGGGAAGAAGCGAAAGUGACGGUACCUGCAGAAGAAGCGCCGGCUAACUACGUG
rnacentral:rRNA from 1 species